rnacentral:rRNA from 1 species
AGUGAACGCUGGCGGUAGGCCUAACACAUGCAAGUCGAACGGCAGCACAGUAAGCGCUUGCUCUUACGGGUGGCGAGUGGCGGACGGGUGAGGAAUACAUCGGAAUCUACUUUUUCGUGGGGGAUAACGUAGGGAAACUUACGCUAAUACCUCAUACUACCUACGGGUGAAAGCAGUGGAUCUUCGUACCUUUCGCGAUUGAAUGAGCCGAUGUCGGAUUAGCUAGUUGGCGGGGUAAAGGCCCACCAAGGCGACGAUCCGUAGCUGGUCUGAGAGGAUGAUCAGCCACACUGGAACUGAGACACGGUCCAGACUCCUACGGGAGGCAGCAGUGGGGAAUAUUGGACAAUGGGCGCAAGCCUGAUCCAGCAAUACCGCGUGGGUGAAGAAGGCCUUCGGGUUGUAAAGCCCUUUUGUUGGGAAAGAAAAGCAGCAGGUUAAUACCCCGCUGUUCUGACGGUACCCAAAGAAUAAGCACCGGCUAACUUCGUG